rnacentral:tRNA from 1 species
ACCCAGCCGACUCAGUCAGUAGAGCAUGCGACUCCUGAUCUCAGGGUUGUGAGUUUGAGUCCCACGUUGGGUG